rnacentral:rRNA from 1 species
AGUGAAUAGAUACCCAGGUAGUCCACGCCGUAAACGAUGGUGACUAGGUGUGUGGGGCGAUAAACAAAGCCCCGCGUGCCGUAGCUAACGCGAUAAGUCACCCGCCUGGGGAGUACGGCCGCAAGGCUAAAAACUCAAAGGAAUUGACGGGGGCCCGCACAAGCAGCGGAGCGUGUGGUUUUAAUUCGAUGCAACGCGAAGAACCUUACCUGGGUUUGAUCCGCAGGUGGUAGAAGGGUGAAAGCCCGACGACCCGCAAGGGAGCCUGCGACGGUGCUGCAUGGCUGUCGUCAGCUCGUGUCGUGAGAUGUUGGGUUUAAGUCCCGCAACGAGCGCAACCCCUGUUGCUAGUUUCAGGUGUCUAGCAAGACUGCCCGUGCAAGCGGGAGGAAGGUGGGGAUGACGUCAAGUCAGCAUGGCCUGUAUAUCCAGGGCGACACACACGCUACAAUGGUUGGGACAAUCGGACGUAAGGUCGCAAGACGGAGCCAAUCCGUAAACCCAGUCGUAGUUCGGAUUGGGGGUCGUGAAGCCCGCCCCCGACUGAAGGCGG